UAGGGUUUCUUGAUAAAAAGACUAAGUUCCAUUUUGCACUAUUGCGCAUGCGCACAAGCUGUUUUACGGAGAACAACGGACUGCCGGAUCUAUAGCCGCGCAGUAGGCGUCCGGCUGCCGGACCAAUAUCCACUUCCUAUCAUUAAUAGGACCAUAGAUAUUAAACACAAUCUAAUGGAUCACGUGAUUCCGUUGCCUAUCCCGGUUACGUAGUCUCUAAUAUCUAUGAUAGGACCGGGAUUGAGUUCAAUGUCUCCUGAUAAUAGGAGAAGAAGAGAGACCCACUUGAACAGGUAGCAAGCUGAGUUAUCGGCGACUGAAACCAUAAAAACGAAGAACCAAAGGUAAGUUUUGCUGGGGUUUAAUAAAGUGCUCCUUGUACUGGUACAGCACCAAUGGCCUAUACUGGCCCUCCAUUGAGCAAUAUCGAUCAUCCUGGUCCGUAUAGAGCAAGAAGUGUGUGUUCUUAUCUUUACAGUAAAAAAAUAGCUGAGCUUUCAAAAACAUGCCCCAUCCAAAUUUACCAUAUAAAGAGCAGGAAUUCAAGAAAAUUCAUAGCUAGUGAUUUGCAGAGCUAGCACAUGAUAGAUCUAUUACAGGACCCCCACAACAAAUCAACAUGGACUACAAAGUUAUGAAUUCAUCAAAAUUAACAUUGAGUGUUAACAUGACUUUUUACACAAACAAAAAAUCCAUACAAUUUGUGAACUAUGCAUUUGCUGGUAUUAAUAAUUAGUUGGGUACAGCAUCAAUGAAUUUAAA